rnacentral:rRNA from 1 species
CCUACGGGAGGCAGCAGUAGGGAAUCUUCCACAAUGGACGCAAGUCUGAUGGAGCAACGCCGCGUGAGUGAAGAAGGUUUUCGGAUCGUAAAGCUCUGUUGUUGGUGAAGAAGGAUAGAGGUAGUAACUGGCCUUUAUUUGACGGUAAUCAACCAGAA